rnacentral:rRNA from 1 species
CCUACGGGUGGCAGCAGUCGAGAAUUAUUCACAAUGGGGGAAACCCUGAUGGUGCGACGCCGCGUGGGGGAAUGAAGGUCUUCGGAUUGUAAACCCUUGUCAUGUGGGAGCAAAUUAAAAAGAUAGUACCACAAGAGGAAGAGACGGCUAACUCUGUGCCCGCAGCCGCGGUAAUACAGAGGUCUCAAGCGUUGUUCGGAAGCACUGGGCGUAAAGCGUGCGGAGGCUGUUUCGUAAGUCGUGUGUGAAAGGCGCGGGCCCAACCCGCGGACGGCACAUGAUACUGCGAGACUAGAGUAAAGGAGAGGGAACCGGAAUUCUCGGUGUAGCAGUGAAAUGCGUAGAUAUCGAGAGGAACACUCGUGGCGAAGGCGGGUUCCUGGACAUUAACUGACGCUGAGGCACGAAGGCCAGGGGAGCAAAAGGGAUUAGAUACCCGGGUAGUC